rnacentral:rRNA from 1 species
UGGGGAAUAUUGGACAAUGGGCGCAAGCCUGAUCCAGCAAUGCCGCGUGUGUGAAGAAGGCCUUCGGGUUGUAAAGCACUUUUAUCAGGAGCGAAACGCUGUCGGCUAAUACCCGGCGGAACUGACGGUACCUGAGGAAUAAGCACCGGCUAACUUCGUGCCAGCAGCCGCGGUAAUACGAAGGGUGCAAGCGUUAAUCGGAAUUACUGGGCGUAAAGCGUGCGUAGGCGGUUUCUUAAGUCUGCUGUGAAAUCCCCGGGCUCAACCUGGGAAUGGCAGUGGAUACUGGGAGGCUAGAGUGUGUCAGAGGGUGGUGGAAUUCCCGGUGUAGCGGUGAAAUGCGUAGAGAUCGGGAGGAACAUCAGUGGCGAAGGCGGCCACCUGGGACAACACUGACGCUGAGGCACGAAAGCGUGGGGAGCAAACAGGAUUAGAUACCCUGGUAGUCCACGCCCUAAAGCGAUGCGAACUGGAUGUUGGUCUCAACUCGGAGAUCAGUGUCGAAGCUAACGCGUUAAGUUCGCCGCCUGGGGAGUACGGUCGCAAGACUGAAACUUAAAUGAAUUGAC